AGAGAGAGGAUAGGGUAAGAUAUCUAGUCUAUGCACUAAGUAUUUUGCUCUGGCCCUAGCUCAAAAUCAGGUAGAGGAGUUUAGUCCUUAACCAGAGAGGUCUCUGCCCUUGUAGCUGAGGACCUGUGGAUGCAGAGAGCCUCUCUCAAGAGGCUCAAAUCAGAAGAGAACACAAGAAGGAAGGAUUGUGAAUCUCAAGAAUAUUAACUAUUGUGAUUGCCACCAAUC
rnacentral:lncRNA from 1 species